AACACAGAUCUAGACAUCAGAAUGGCCUGAUGUGACAGUAUAGGCCACUCAGAACAAUAUGGCCUCUGGUGGCAGUGUGGCUCAUGGUCAUCAAUAUAAAUACUCCUGGCAACACAAAUGACAGACAUCUAUAAGACCUUCAGGAGUAAUAUGGGCUAUGGACAUAAACAGACCCCAGCUGAAGUAGAACCAUGAACCCAGACAUGGCCACCACCAGAAGCAAAGACCUGGACAUCACCAUGACCUCAGACAGCAGUGCAGGCCUUUCACAUCUACAUGGCCCCUGGUGGCAGCAUGGCCCUACGUACAUCAAGAUGGCCUCAGCUGCCUGUCCAUCUACCAAGUCUGUCCUGCUAGCAUAUUGAAAGAAACCUCAGAUGUCUAGUAAACCAUGGGUUAAACCAACAAACUCAAUCUUCUAAAAUAACACCAGCCUGCCAUUCAGGUGUAUCAGUCCUUGUGAGCCACUGGACCACUGGCAACAAUUUGGCGCCCAGACUGGAACCUGAAGAAGUUUAGGAGGACGCUGAGGGAACGCUGUUUUGUGUGGAGCUCCACGGAAGAAAAAGAAAAAGAAAAGGAUUGUAUCGGACAAUGAAGCAACAGAAAAAGAAGUUGUAGCGAGAUGGCUGCCUGAGAGAUUAGUUCGUCAACUGGACACAGAUCCUGAAUCUUCUAGUCAGUCAACACCCUUUAGCCUGACUGCAGCAGGCAUGCAUCCCCGCCCCCAACAGCACACAGGUGGCAGUUACUAAUCUUCAUUGAAGAAGCAUUCCAAUACUGCUACCUGCUGAGAGGCCCCAGAGCUAUUCCGGAGACUACACCCUAUCCUGCAUGUCAUCACCUGCAGCUGGUUCCAGGCUCCAAAGAUGAAUUGGCAGGAAUGGGCUUUCCCCCUUCCUUUAUAAAGCAUGUCCGCCAUUAAAAAUUUGAACCUUGAUCAGAA
rnacentral:lncRNA from 1 species